AAGCUUUUCACUGGUUCCAGACAGUGACAGGUUUUACUUUUGGCAGCCAGGGUUGUUUACUCACACGAAAAUCACUUUCAUUUUCUGUUUUGGUAAUAUCGUUAAGUUAUGUUUGCAAUCUGCAGGUUGUGUUGGGGUUUUUUGCUGAGCACUGAUUUCGCCACAUGCCCAGUUUUCAAAAUUCAAAAUCCCAUUUUCUGCCAUAGGAACUACACCUAUAAUCACUAGUGACCCUCCUCGUGUUGCUGUAGCCAUCAACCUUCAUGGUGUUGAGCCUUUUAUCGAGUGUAGACAAACAAGACUCAGCGACUCAAGAAACAACAUCAGCAUGUAGAGUGCAGCGCCACCAGUGUUCUGCUACAAAUCACAGAACCCAUAAAGAACCGUCAUGUACGUGGAACCCUUUUUGUUGAGAGUGUAGGAUUACAUUAUUCUGCAUUUGGAGGGUUCAGUCCUUGACUCUUCGCCUCCCUCAGGGGAAAACCUGGCGCCUCAUGCCCCUAUCAGACGACUCAACUGGACUGAAUGGAGAGGAGGAGGGGAGGAAGAGGGGAGUAAAACCAGUGAAAAAAGAGAUGAGAAACCGCUGAAAUACAGGCAUGGGACUGGGAGGAUGGAGGGAUGUCAUGUUUCUGCACUAGGCCUAAAAAAAGAAUCGGGAGUAACAGAAAUCUGCAAUUUCCUCGUGAGCUGCUACAAGAUGUACGAGAAGACUUCUUUCCACUUCUCCAGUGAACCUAUAUAAAACGGAGCAUCUUUUUAAUUGACUAAUUAUGUUUUUUUUUUCCCCCCUUAAAUAAAUUAUUUGAAAUUAUAUUUGAUUAGAUGGAUUAAUAAUAAUGCAGGUACUGUGGGGAAAAAUUAAGAUUUACAUUUUACACUUUAGAUUCUUUUUUAAUGGGAGGAUAGAAAUACGUGUUUUUCCUGAAUGCUAAUUUUGCAGUUAGCACAAACACACACACACACACACACACACA